rnacentral:rRNA from 1 species
ACGCUCGACACCUACGGGAGGCAGCAGGUAGGGGAAGUAUUGCACAAGUAGGGGGAAACCCGUGAUGCAGCAACGCCGCGUGAAGGAAGACGGUUUCGGUAUGUAAACUUCUGUUCUUAGUGAAGAUAGUGACGGUAGCUAAGGAGCAACGCCGACGGCCUAACUACGUGCCAGCACGGCCGGGUAAUCUGAGGCGGGCUGGCGAACGGC